rnacentral:rRNA from 1 species
UACGUAGGGGGCAAGCGUUGUCCGGAAUCAUUGGGCGUAAAGCGCGUGUAGGCGGCUCGGUAAGUCCGCUCUGAAAGUCCGGGGCUCAACCCCGGGAGGCGGGUGGAUACUGUCGAGCUCGAGUCCGGAAGAGGCGAGUGGAAUUCCUGGUGUAGCGGUGAAAUGCGCAGAUAUCAGGAGGAACACCGAUGGCGAAGGCAGCUCGCUGGGACGUAACUGACGCUGAGACGCGAAAGCGUGGGGAGCAAACAGG